rnacentral:lncRNA from 12 species
GGGAAUUUGGGGAGGGGUGGGAUUCAGGAUUUCGGGAAUUUGGGAGUUUGGGAAUUUAGAAAUUUAGGGAUUUGGGAAUUUAGAAAUUUAGGAAUUCAGGAAUUUGGGGAUUUAGAAUUUAGGAAAUUCGGAAUUUAGGAAUGUUAAGAUUUUGGGGAUUUGGGGGAUUUAGAAAUUUAGGAAUUCAGGGAUUUGGGGAUUUAGAAAUUUAGGGGAUUCAGGGAUUUAGGAAUUUUGGGAUUUAGGAAUUCAGAAAAUGGGGAUUCAGGAAUUAAGGGAUUUGGGGAUUUAAAAAUUUAGAGGAUUCAGGAAUUUGGGGAUUUAGGGGAUUCAGGAAUUCGGGGAUUUAGGGAUUCAUGGGUUUGGGGAUUUAGGAAUUCGGGGACUCAGGAAUUCAGGGAUUUAGAAAUUCAGAUAUUUAUAAAUUUAGGAAUUCUGGGAUUGGGGGGGUUUCAGGAGUUCGGGAAUUUGAGAAUUCAGGAUUUCACGAAUUUAGGAAUUCAGGGAUUCAGGGAGGGAUGAAAAUCCAGGAUUUAGGGGCUGGAAUUCAGGGAAUGGGAUUCAGGAAUUUGGGGAUUCAGGGAUUUAGGGGUUCAGGAAUUUGGGGACUCAGGGAUUCAGGGAAUGGGAUGGAAUCCCAGGAAUUUGGGGACUCAGGGAUUCAGGGAAUGGGAUGGAAUCCAGGAAUUUGGGGACUCAGGGAUUCAGGGAAUGGGAUGGAAUCCAGGAAUCUGGGAACUCAGGGAUUCAGGAAUUUGGGGAUUCAGGGAUUCAGGAAUUUGGGGACUCAGAGGUUCAGGAAUUUGGGAAUUCAGGGAUCCAGGGAACGGGAUGGAAUUCAGGAAUCUGGGAACUCGGGGAUUCAGGAUUUUGGGAACUCAGGGAUUCAGGAAUUUGGGGAUUCAGGGAUUUAGGGGUUCAGGGAUUUGGGGGUUCAGGGAUCCAGGGAAUGGCCCCCCCCCCCCCCCCCCCCCCCCCCCCCCCCCCCCCCCCCCCCCCCCCAUUCAGGAAUUUGGGAACUCAGGGAUUCAGGAUUUUGGGAACUCAGGGAUUCAGGGGUUCAGGAAUUUGGGAACUCAGGGAUUCAGGAUUUUGGGAAUUCAGGGAUUCAGGAAUUCGGGAAUUCAGGGAUUUAGGGGUUCAGGAAUUUGGGGGUCCAGGGAUCCAGGGAACGGGAUGGAUUCCAGGAAUCCUGAAAUCCAGGAAUCCAAAGAACGCGACAAAAUUCCAACAUCCACUGAAUCCAACCGAACCCAUCAAAUCCCGACCUCUGAAAUUCCCAGAAAAAAACCUCCCCAGUCCCCAAA